rnacentral:misc_RNA from 1 species
GGUAUUAAGAGGCAUGCCAAAUGGGGAGGGCCCGAGGCUGGUUGAGCGGGAGGACGGCAUUGAAGCAAUGGAAAGAUUUCAGUUUCACGAAAAUGAAGACUUGAGAAAUAUGGCAAAUUGUCUGGUCGAUAAGUACUUCGGUGAGGACUACGGUCUCGGUGAGUAGACAGUUCUAGUUUUCAAGACUUAGGCUUACUGUUUUCGUAAUCAAAAUUACAUACAUCCGUCCGUGGUGCGCUUGAGUCUACUAGCUGAUUUAUGAAAUUCGUCAUCCAUGGAGGAAGGUAGAGUUGAGCCUUCGGUAUUAUCUUUGUUAAUUUGCAACUUUCCUGAUGAGUUUGAUCAGAGCAUGUCUUACUUGAGCUGUAAAAUCUCCCCACGUCGUUACUAUAAGGAAAAUGCUUUGCAAAAUUGGGUAAAUGACAUGGAUUUUG